GCGCGGGACUUUUACUCAGAAUACGGAGGAGACGCUUGUUAUGCUGCUACCUGCUCCCGACAACCACCUCGCAUAACUAAACAUGUAGAUGUAUUUGGCUUCCACUUUCGGACGGGGGUUCAAUUCCCCCCAUCUCCAAAA
rnacentral:tmRNA from 1 species